UUAUUAUUAUUAUAAGACUUUUCUGCCCUCCAUCCAGUCUUCCUUUUCAUUUCGUCUCCCCAUCGCUGGGCCUCUAUACAUAACUGGGUUAAUCAUCAGGCAAGGAUCGCUGUUGAUAGUAUUUCAUUUAAAGGGCUGCUCAAUGAAGUUGAUAUCAGCCUGGACUUGGACUCUAAUGGUCUCUGUUUUCCAUUGAGCUGCUGUAUUGGGGUGGAGGACAGGUUGAGAUGAGGGGAUGAUGGGAGAGGACAGGUUGAGAUGAGGGGAUGAUGGGAGAGGACAGGUUGAGAUGAGGGGAUGAUGGGAGAGGACUGGGUGAGAUGAGGGGAUGAUGGGAGAGGACAGGUUGAGAUGAGGGGAUGAUGGGAGAGGACAGGUUGAGAUGAGGGGAUGAUGGGAGAGGACAGGUUGAGAUGAGGGGAUGAUGGGAGAGGACAGGAGGAGAUGAGGGGAUGAUGGGAGAGGACAGGUUGAGAUGAGGGGAUGAUGGGAGAGGACAGGUUGAGAUGAGGGGAUGAUGGGAGAGGACAGGUUGAGAUGAGGGGAUGAUGGGAGAGGACAGGGUGAGAUGAGGGGAUGAUGGGAGAGGACAGGAGGAGAUGAGGGGAUGAUGGGAGAGGACAGGUUGAGAUGAGGGGAUGAUGGGAGAGGACAGGAGAAGAUGAGGGGAUGACGGGAGAGAACAGGUUGAGAUGAGGGGAUGAUGGAAGAGGAAAGAAGGAGAUGGGGGGAUGACGGGAGAGGACAGGGUGAGAGAAGGGGAUGAGGGGAGAGGACAGGGGGAGAUGAGGGGAUGACGGGAGAGGACA